AACAACUGUUGGCGAGCUCCAAGGUGUUGGUGCAUUAUGACAGCAGCAAGCCCCUCCUGCUCACCUGUGACGCGUCACCAUACGGAUUGGGAGCAGUCCUUGCACACCGUUUGGAGUCUGGAGAGGAGAAACCGAUUGCUUUCGCAUUCGAUCCCUGAGCAUAGCUGAACGCAAGUAUGCUCAGGUAGAGAAAGAAGGUUUGGCAAUAAUAUUUGGUGUUAAGAAAUUUCAUAAUUACUUGUAUGGCCGCCAUUUUGAGAUCAUUUCAGACCAUCAGCCACUUAAAAGUCUGUUUAAUGAAACUCGCCCAGUGCCUGUGAUGGCAUCAAGUCGUAUCCAACGCUGGGCGCUAACACUAUCGGCGUAUGAAUACACUAUCACCCACAAACCAGGGAAAAAUAUAGUACAUGCUGAUGGGUUGAGUCGCCUUCCUCUCCCUGAAUUCCCCAAGGUGACUCCAGUCCCCGGUGAUGUGGUAUGCGUGUUGGAGAGACUAGACCAGACACCCGUCACGUCGAGAGAGUUAAGGCAAUGGACGGAUAAGGACUCAACACUCUCGAAGGUAAGAGAUCACAUUCUGUACGGUUGGCCUGGACAUAUAGCAGAGGAAACACUUCAGCCUUUUUUUAGAAGGAGGCACGAAUUAAGUGUCCAAGAUGGAAUAAUUUUGUGGGGAUCAAGAGUGGUGGUGCCUCAGAUAGCUAGAAAAAAUGUGUUGGCUGAGCUACAUGCAACGCAUCCAGGAGUCUCGCGCAUGAAAGGUAUUGCGCGUAGUCAUGUGUGGUGGCCCAAUAUAGAUAAAGAUGUUGAGUCAACAGUACAACUAUGUUCACAGUGCCAACAAGUGAGAAAUCUUCCCCCAGACGCUCCUUUGCAGCCAUGGGAGUGGCCACUAAAACCCUGGUCCAGGUUACAUUUGGAUUACGCUGGGCCGUUUAUGGGUGCAGUUGCUAGAUGGGAGGACUGUACGACGUCAUCUCGACUAUGUGAGGAGAAGAGUAAGCAUAGAGGGCGAGACGGUUAACGCAGAUGAUGCCAUACCACCUCCCAUGGACCUCACAAAUGGAGCAGGAA